rnacentral:rRNA from 1 species
UACGGGAGGCAGCAGUAGGGAAUCUUCCGCAAUGGACGAAAGUCUGACGGAGCAACGCCGCGUGAACGAUGAAGGCUUUCGGGUCGUAAAGUUCUGUUGUUAGGGAAGAACAAGUACCAGAGUAACUGCUGGUACCUUGACGGUACCUAACCAGAAAGCCACGGCUAACUACGUGCCAGCAGCCGCGGUAAUACGUAGGUGGCAAGCGUUGUCCGGAAUUAUUGGGCGUAAAGCGCGCGCAGGUGGUCCUUUUAAGUCUGAUGUGAAAGCCCACGGCUCAACCGUGGAGGGUCAUUGGAAACUGGGGACUUGAGUGCAGAAGAGGAAAGUGGAAUUCCACGUGUAGCGGUGAAAUGCGUAGAGAUGUGGAGGAACACCAGUGGCGAAGGCGACUUUUCUGGUCUGUAACUGACACUGAGGCGCGAAAGCGUGGGGAGCGAACAGGGAUUAGAUACC